rnacentral:rRNA from 1 species
GAUGAACGCUGGCGGCGUGCUUAACACAUGCAAGUCGAACGAAGCACUUUAUUUGAUUUCCUUCGGGACUGAUUAUUUUGUGACUGAGUGGCGGACGGGUGAGUAACGCGUGGGUAACCUGCCUUGUACAGGGGGAUAACAGUUGGAAACGGCUGCUAAUACCGCAUAAGCGCACAGCAUCGCAUGAUGCAGUGUGAAAAACUCCGGUGGUAUAAGAUGGACCCGCGUUGGAUUAGCUAGUUGGUGAGGUAACGGCCCACCAAGGCGACGAUCCAUAGCCGACCUGAGAGGGUGACCGGCCACAUUGGGACUGAGACACGGCCCAAACUCCUACGGGAGGCAGCAGUGGGGAAUAUUGCACAAUGGGCGAAAGCCUGAUGCAGCGACGCAGCGUGAGCGAAGAAGUAUUUCGGUAUGUAAAGCUCUAUCAGCAGGGAAGAUAAUGACGGUACCUGACUAAGAAGCACCGGCUAAAUACGUG